UGGGGAAUAUUGCACAAUGGGCGCAAGCCUGAUGCAGCCAUGCCGCGUGUGUGAAGAAGGCCUUCGGGUUGUAAAGCACUUUCAGCGAGGAGGAAGGUGGUGAACUUAAUACGUUCAUCAAUUGACGUUACUCGCAGAAGAAGCACCGGCUAACUCCGUGCCAGCAGCCGCGGUAAUACGGAGGGUGCAAGCGUUAAUCGGAAUUACUGGGCGUAAAGCGCACGCAGGCGGUUUGUUAAGUCAGAUGUGAAAUCCCCGGGCUCAACCUGGGAACUGCAUUUGAAACUGGCAAGCUAGAGUCUCGUAGAGGGGGGUAGAAUUCCAGGUGUAGCGGUGAAAUGCGUAGAGAUCUGGAGGAAUACCGGUGGCGAAGGCGGCCCCCUGGACGAAGACUGACGCUCAGGUGCGAAAGCGUGGGGAGCAAACAGAUUAGAUACCCUGGUAGUCCACGCUGUAAACGAUGUCGAUUUUGGAGGUUGUGCCCCUUGAGGCGUGGNUUCCGGAGCUAACG
rnacentral:rRNA from 1 species